GAUGAACGCUGGCGGCGUGCCUAAUACAUGCAAGUCGAGCGAAUGGAUUAAGAGCUUGCUCUUAUGAAGUUAGCGGCGGACGGGUGAGUAACACGUGGGUAACCUGCCCAUAAGACUGGGAUAACUCCGGGAAACCGGGGCUAAUACCGGAUAACAUUUUGAACCACAUGGUUCGAAAUUGAAAGGCGGCUUCGGCUGUCACUUAUGGAUGGAACCGCGUCGCAUUAGCUAGUUGGUGAGGUAACGGCUCACCAAGGCAACGAUGCGUAGCCGACCUGAGAGGGUGAUCGGCCACACUGGGACUGAGACACGGCCCAGACUCCUACGGGAGGCAGCAGUAGGGAAUCUUCCGCAAUGGACGAAAGUCUGACGGAGCAACGCCGCGUGAGUGAUGAAGGCUUUCGGGUCGUAAAACUCUGUUGUUAGGGAAGAACAAGUGCUAGUUGAAUAAGCUGACACCUUGACGGUACCUAACCAGAAAGCCACGGCUAACUACGUGCCAGCCGCCGCAGUAA
rnacentral:rRNA from 1 species